rnacentral:lncRNA from 1 species
GGAGUGUCGGGGAGAGAGGACGCGGAAGAAGGAGGGGGCGCUGCAGGCGUGGGUGGCGACCGCCGGGGGCGCGGAGCGCUGGCCGACGGAGCGGCGUGCGCUGGCUAGCGCAGCGGCGGCAGCGACUCCAGCGGCGGCGGGGAGCGGCGGAAGAGCGAGAAGAGGCAGCGGCUUCCAGGCGUGUUUCCGGCCGUUUCCGGCGGCGUUGGCAGCCGAGUCGGGUGGAAAUCGGCUCCUCUCGGCGAGGGCUCUCUUUCGGAAGCAGCGGAGACGCCUGUGGUGGCUGGAAUUGCGAGAUCCGGCAAAGUAAAGUUUGGGGGGGCAGCGGACGUUUUUGGAUUUUUCCGGCGAGCUCUGGCGAGCUAUGGAUGAUCGGAGGACGUAUCCCGACUCUCCUCAGCUCAAGCUUCGCAAUGACACCGGUUUCGUGGCGAUCGGACUUCGUUUGCAAAUUGACGGCCGAGAUCAUCCGUAAAUCUCUCCAGAUGAUCGGGUGUCAGAUCGGAAAAUCAGAAGCGGGUAUCGUCAUCAUGGCAUGACAUGUAUGGUUUCCAUGACUUAUUAAUUAUUUUAAAAUUAAAUAAUGUGAUAUUGAGAUGUUUGAAACUAUUUUAGAUAUAUGAUUUUAACUCACUCUCGAGACUGACAGUCUCCAUUUACUAUUUUUCAGAUUCGUGACUGUUAGUCUUCCCGCUACUCUUACUCAGUAACCCGACUUCUUCAUCAUCGGGUGGUGUUUGAUUUGGUAUGUCAAAUUGUAAAAUCUUAGAUUCUCCGCAGUAGUAAUAGUAGGGAUAUCAGUGGUAAUGUAAUUUUCUGUAGUUUCGAGUCUCGCCUAAUUCUUCGAGCAAACCAAUUUAAUUGUGUAAAAUUUAACGUUACUGUAAAUUGUGGUAUUAAUAACAAUAAAAUUUGAGUUGAGGUUGGUAUGA